UACGUAGGCAGCGAGCGUUGUUCGGAAUUACUGGGCGUAAAGAGUGUGUAGGCGGUGUUCCCAGUCUGUUGUGAAAUCUCCCGGCUUAACUGGGAGGGUGCAGCGGAAACUAGAAUGCUAGAGGGUGGGAGAGGUAAGCGGAAUUCCUGGUGUAGCGGUGAAAUGCGUAGAUAUCAGGAAGAACACCGGUGGCGAAAGCGCUCUGCUAGGCCGCAACUGACACUGAGGGACGAAAGCUAGGGGAGCGAAUGGG
rnacentral:rRNA from 1 species